GAUGAACGCUGGCGGCGUGCCUAAUACGUGCAAGUCGAGCGAACAGAUGAGGAGCUUGCUCCUCUGACGUUAGCGGCGGACGGGUGAGUAACACGUGGAUAACCUACCUAUAAGACUGGGAUAACUUCGGGAAACCGGAGCUAAUACCGGAUAAUAUAUUGAACCGCAUGGUUCAAUAGUGAAAGACGGUUUUGCUGUCACUUAUAGAUGGAUCCGCGCCGCAUUAGCUAGUUGGUAAGGUAACGGCUUACCAAGGCAACGAUGCGUAGCCGACCUGAGAGGGUGAUCGGCCACACUGGAACUGAGACACGGUCCAGACUCCUACGGGAGGCAGCAGUAGGGAAUCUUCCGCAAUGGGCGAAAGCCUGACGGAGCAACGCCGCGUGAGUGAUGAAGGUCUUCGGAUCGUAAAACUCUGUUAUUAGGGAAGAACAAAUGUGUAAGUAACUAUGCACGUCUUGACGGUACCUAAUCAGAAAGCCACGGCUAACUACGU
rnacentral:rRNA from 1 species